rnacentral:rRNA from 1 species
AUGAAGACUCCACCAAGGAAAUGCUCCUUGAGGAUUCUCAAGCCGCUUGAGCCAUGCAUCCGUGUCGGCUACGAUAUGAGAACAAUGAACACACCUUGGAUGCAAACGGCCAGGAUCUUGGAUCGGCUACAGCUUCACUGGCGAAGAGUGAAACCACCACCUACUGUCAUCGGGUGGGAAGAAGAACCAUAUUCUCCUUCCAGAGGAACCAAUAUAUCGCAUGGUCAGAACAGAGAUUCAACCAGCGCAGAUCCAGCUUCGCUCGCUUCUUGUCGGUGGCAAACAACACACUGCCGGCACAAGGACAAAGUCGGGGGGACUUAUUCAACGGAAAAGUUGCCGCCUUUAUCUCGGCUCCCUCCCUAG